rnacentral:rRNA from 1 species
AUACGUAGGGUGCGAGCGUUAAUCGGAAUUACUGGGCGUAAAGCGUGCGCAGGUGGUUUUGUAAGUCAGAUGUGAAAUCCCCGGGCUUAACCUGGGAACUGCGUUUGAAACUGCAAGGCUAGAGUGUGGCAGAGGGGGGUGGAAUUCCGCGUGUAGCAGUGAAAUGCGUAGAGAUGUGGAGGAGCACCAAUGGCGAAGGCAGCCCCCUGGGUCAACACUGACGCUCAGGCACGAAAGCAUGGGGAGCAAACAGGAUUAGAAACCCCAGUAGUCC